AGGGUUUGAUCAUGGCUCAGAACGUACGCUGGCGGCACGCCUAACACAUGCAAGUCGAACGAAGUAGCAAUACUUAGUGGCAGACGGGUGAGUAACAUGUAGGUAUCUGCCCUUUGGCCUGGAAUAACACGAGGAAACUUGUGCUAAUACCGGAUAAGUCUUUACGGAGAAAGCUUUAUGCACCAUUGGAUGAGCCUGCACUUGAUUAGUUUGUUGGUGGGGUAAUGGCCUACCAAGACUGUGAUCAAUAGCUGAUUUGAGAGGAUGAUCAGCCACAUUGGGACUGAGACACGGCCCAAACUCCUACGGGAGGCAGCAGUGGGGAAUCUUGCACAAUGGAGGAAACUCUGAUGCAGCGAUGCCGCGUGAGUGAAGAAGGCCUUUGGGUUGUAAAGCUCUUUCGUCGGGGAAGAAAAUGACUGUACCCGAAUAAGAAGGUCCGGCUAACUUCGUGCCAGCAGCCGCGGUAAUACGAAGGGACCUAGCGUAGUUCGGAAUUACUGGGCUUAAAGAGUUCGUAGGUGGUUGAAAAAGUUGGUGGUGAAAUCCCAGAGCUUAACUCUGGAACUGCCAUCAAAACUUUUCAGCUAGAGUAUGAUAGAGGAAAGCAGAAUUUCUAGUGUAGAGGUGAAAUUCGUAGAUAUUAGAAAGAAUACCAAUUGCGAAGGCAGCUUUCUGGAUCAUUACUGACACUGAGGAACGAAAGCAUGGGUAGCGAAGAGGAUUAGAUACCCUCGUAGUCCAUGCCGUAAACGAUGUGUGUUAGACGUUGGAAAUUUAUUUUCAGUGUCGCAGGGAAACCGAUAAACACACCGCCUGGGGAGUACGACCGCAAGGUUAAAACUCAAAUGAAUUGACGGGGACCCGCACAAGUAGUGGAGCAUGUGGUUUAAUUCGAAGAUACGCGCAGAACCUUACCAACACUUGACAUGUUCGUCGCGACUCUAAGAGAUUAGAGUUUUCGGUUCGGCCGGACGAAACACAGGUGCUGCAUGGCUGUCGUCAGCUCGUGUCGUGAGAUGUUGGGUUAAGUCCCGCAACGAGCGCAACCCUCACUUUUAGUUGCCAUCAUUAAGUUGGGCACUCUGAAAGAACUGCCAGUGAUAAGCUGGAGGAAGGUGGGGAUGACGUCAAGUCCUCAUGGCCCUUACGUGUUGGGCUACACACGUGCUACAAUGGUAUCUACAACAGGAAGCAAAACUGCGAAGUUAAGCAAAUCCUUAAAAGAUACCUCAGUUCGGAUUGCACUCUGCAACUCGAGUGCAUGAAGCUGGAAUUACUAGUAAUCGUGGAUCAGCGUGCCACGGUGAAUGCGUUCCCGGGUCUUGUACACACCGCCCGUCACACCAUGGGAGUUGGUUCUACCUUAAGGCAAGGUUUCAAACCCUUGACCACGGUAUAGUCAGCGACUGGGGUGAAGUCGUAACAAGGUAACCGUA
rnacentral:rRNA from 1 species